AGUGGGGAAUAUUGCACAAUGGGCGCAAGCCUGAUGCAGCCAUGCCGCGUGUGUGAAGAAGGCCUUCGGGUUGUAAAGCACUUUCAGCAGUGAGGAAGGCGGGUACGUUAAUAGCGUAUUCGUUUGACGUUAGCUGCAGAAGAAGCACCGGCUAACUCCGUGCCAGCAGCCGCGGUAAUACGGAGGGUGCGAGCGUUAAUCGGAAUUACUGGGCGUAAAGCGCAUGCAGGUGGUUCGUUAAGUCAGAUGUGAAAGCCCGGGGCUCAACCUCGGAAUUGCAUUUGAAACUGUCGGACUAGAGUACUGUAGAGGGGGGUAGAAUUUCAGGUGUAGCGGUGAAAUGCGUAGAGAUCUGAAGGAAUACCGGUGGCGAAGGCGGCCCCCUGGACAGAUACUGACACUCAGAUGCGAAAGCGUGGGGAGCAAA
rnacentral:rRNA from 1 species